rnacentral:rRNA from 1 species
AGUGAACGCUGGCGGUAGGCCUAACACAUGCAAGUCGAACGGCAGCACAGUAAGAGCUUGCUCUUACGGGUGGCGAGUGGCGGACGGGUGAGGAAUACAUCGGAAUCUACUUUUUCGUGGGGAUUACGGAGGGAAACUUACGGUAAUAACGCAUACGAACUACCGGUGAAAACAGGGGAACCUCGGACCCUGCGCCAAUGAAUUAGCCGAUGUCGGAUUAGCUAGUUGGCGGGGUAAAGGCCCACCAAGGCGACGAUCCGUAGCUGGUCUGAGAGGAUGAUCAGCCACACUGGAACUGAGACACGGUCCAGACUCCUACGGGAGGCAGCAGUGGGGAAUAUUGGACAAUGGGCGCAAGCCUGAUCCAGCCAUACCGCGUGGGUGAAGAAGGCCUUCGGGUUGUAAAGCCCUUUUGUUGGGAAAGAAAAGCAGCAGGUUAAUACCCCGCUGUUCUGACGGUACCCAAAGAAUAAGCACCGGCUAACUUCGUG